AGCGGCAAGAGCUCAGAUUUGGAAUCGUGUUUCGGCACGAGUUGUAAAUUGCAGGUUGGAGUCUUUGUGGAAGCGUGUGUCCAAGUCCCUUGGAACAGGGCGCCAUUGAGGGUGAGAGCCCCGUGGGAUGCGCGCGGAAGCAACAAGGCCCUUCUGACGAGUCGAGUUGUUUGGGAAUGCAGCUCUAAGCGGGUGGUAAAUUCCAUCUAAGGCUAAAUACUGGCGAGAGACCGAUAGCGAACAAGUACUGUGAAGGAAAGAUGAAAAGCACUUUGAAAAGAGAGUGAAACAGCACGUGAAAUUGUUGAAAGGGAAGGGUAUUGGGCCCGACAUGGGGAUUGCGCAUCUCUGCUCCUUGUGGGCGGGGCGCUGUGCUUUUCCUGGGCCAGCAUCGGUUUUUGCCGCAGGAGAAGGGGUACUGGAAUGUGGCUCCUCGGAGUGUUAUAGCCAGUGCCAGAUGCUGCGUGCGGGGACCGAGGGCUGCGACAUCUGUCUCGGAUGCUGGCACAACGGCGCAAUACCGCCCGUCUUGAACCACGGAC
rnacentral:rRNA from 1 species